rnacentral:lncRNA from 1 species
CCUCCCGUGUGGUUCUCCGUCGUGUGGCUGCGAUCUCAAUUGGAGUUUGGAGGGAGGAAGAAGGAAGGAGGAAGGGAAGAACCUAAGGUGAAUUUGUGAUUAACUUUUGUUGUUUUUGUGCUGCAAUCAAUUCGAUUAUGUGUUUAUCUUUGCGAAUCGGUAGAGGUGCUGUCCAGGAAUUUUGUGAGUGGGUGAACAGCAGUAGUUCUAGGGAUUUCUGGGAAUUUUCGUGGGGUAAUUAGUGGGAAUCAGUGGGAUAAUCAUGUAGAGCUUUGUCAUACCUUUCCAACGAGUACUUAUGCGCUCGAUUCGGAGUUAUAAUUUAGGAGAUAUCGUUGUUUGAAUCCGGGUAUGUUGCUGUCCAAAAAAACAGAUUUUUCAGGUGGGUGAACAGCAGUAGUAUUAGCAGUUUCUGGGAAUUUUUCGUGGGUAAUUAGUAUUAACCAGUAUUAUAAUCAUGUAGGGCUUUGUCUUAUCUUUCCAAUGAGUACUUAUGUGCUUGAUUUGGAAUUAUAUUUUAAAAGAUAUCGCUGUUUGAAUCCGGGUAUGUUGCUGUCCAAAAAAAACAGAUUUUUCAGCUGGGUGAACAGCAGUAGUAUUAGCAAUUUCUGGGAAUUUUUCGUGGUUAAUUAGUGCUAACCAGUAUGAUAAUCAUGUAUGGCUUUGUCUUAUCUUUACAAUGAGUACUUAUGCGCUUGAAUUGGAAUUAUAUUUUAAAAGAUAUCGCUGUUUGAAUCCGGGUAUGUCGCUGUCCAAAAGAGAAAAAAACAGAUUACCGGGUUCAUCUUGUGAACUGUUUUGGGCUAAUUAGAUGUUGGAAUUUAAUUAUAAAUUGUAUACAAAACAUGUGGGGAAUUUUAUGUAGAUGCCUCUGGAGUUUUUGUUUGUUACCAAUGCUGUCAUAAUUUUGAAGUUAUGAAAUUAUUAAGCAGCGCCGCUGCAGUUUGGUGGGUGUGGGGAGAGAUGUAACCCGCGGCGGGGUUUGAGUUUGUGCGUAGGUGCGGCGUCGUUUAUGAGCCUGGUUAUGUGAAAUUGGUGCACUAAGUUGUAUGUCAAAAACAGGUGGUGGACUUCCGGAUCGUACUUAGGGAUUUGCCUAAACUUCCGGUAAAGGCAAGUAAAUACAGUGGUGGUUGCUACCGUUUGGUUUGCAUCCUAUUCCCUGUCAUUGAGUAUGCAUAAGUUUUAAAUAUGUUAAUCAUUGAAUUCUAUGAUGAAGUUUAUUUGUUCGAAAGUAUUAAUUCUCAAUUGUCUAAUAUUGUGGAUGAUCAUGAUUUGGUAAUGAUAUAUGUGGUUGAUUCCCAUCAUGGAUGGAGUUGAAGUAUUUUUUUUGAAUCACGUUAUAUGAAGUGUUGUAGGCAUGUCAUGCACAUUGCAUCAUCCAUCUUGCAUUCUGAAGUUAUGUCGUGAUCUUAUGGUCCGACUGUACCGGUACAUUUUUAGCAUCGUACGUUGCCCGAGGAGGGGUACGAUGCGGCUUCAUAUCCUUAGAGGUAUGAAGGCAGAAGUCAUCCUUGCAUUUGCAGACAUUUGCACUCAUGAGGUAUAUAUAUGAAGAGUGACAUUACUAUGUUACUAUUGUGGUUUCUACCUGCGAGGUGUGGUAGCUAGGAGUGUUGUACGUUGUAUACGUGCUGCACCUUUGUAAUAAGAAGGUUGUGAAAUCAAGUGGUGGUAAAACAAUAUUCUUAUGUGGUUAAACAGUUUGAUAUUAUUUUACUUGCUGAGAUGUGUCAUCUCACUCUUGCAUUACUCAAUGCAGGUACUUGAUACAUGUUGGGAAUGAGGGGAGUAGCAGCACGUCCACUUUCACUCUCAUAAUAGCGCUGCCCAGGCGUAGCCAUGAUUUAAUUAGAAACUUGUUGUCAAAAGAAGUUUAUUUUUUUGCUAGUCGUGUGCACUGGUUAAUUCAGUUCAUGUCGUAUGCUUAACUUCCCUUUGCUAGCCGAUUAAUAAUACUUGGUAUGUUUUUGUCAUGAUAUAUGUUUAUACACUGUUGUCCCCCCCUCAUUUAUGCAAUUUUGCAAAGGAGAUGC